AGAGUUUGAUCAUGGCUCAGAGCGAACGCUGGCGGCAGGCCUAACACAUGCAAGUCGAGCGCCCCGCAAGGGGAGCGGCAGACGGGAGAGUAACACGUGGGAACGUACCCUUCAGUUCGGAACAACCAAGGGAAACUUUGGCUAAUACCGAAUACGUCCGUAAGGAGAAAGAUUUAUCGCUGAAGGAUCGGCCCGCGUCUGAUUAGCUAGUUGGUGGGGUAAUGGCUCACCAAGGCGACGAUCGGUAGCUGGUCUGAGAGGACGAUCAGCCACACUGGGACUGAGACACGGCCCAGACUCCUACGGGAGGCAGCAGUGGGGAAUCUUGCGCAAUGGGCGAAAGCCUGACGCAGCGACGCCGUGUGCGGGAAGAAGGCCUUCGGGUUGUAAACCGCUUUCAGGAGGGACGAAGCCACUCAGGUUAAUAGCCGAGAGGGUGACGGUACCUCCAGAAGAAGCCCCGGCUAACUACGUGCCAGCAGCGGCGGUAAUAC
rnacentral:rRNA from 1 species